GACCGAGUGCCCGAGUGGCCAGGGAACGGUCUGCAAAACCGUCAACGCGGGUUCGAUUCCCGCCUCGGUCU
rnacentral:tRNA from 1 species